UCAUGAAUGCAUUUUCAAUGUGGGAUGGUUUAUGUAGUUUGUUUGUUGCUUAGCAACCUGAGCCAAAGCUGAUGGCACCAAUUUAGGGGUUUUGCAUGUGAAGUGGGAAAGGGGCGUAUCUUUCCUGGGGACAUACAGGAAGUGACGUACACCUUUAGAAUUUGGGGUAUAUAAGGGGAGACUUUCUUUUGUUCUCUCUCUUGAUCCUGCCAUGCGGCUUGCUGUUUCUCUCAAACACACGCAGAAGAGAUAUGUAAUAUCCUGAUAAAGAUAGGCCCUACAUGAUCCUGGCCUACUAUAUAUUUUGUAUCCUGAACUAUAUGCUUUGGAAAUAAGAUGUUUUACCUGUAUGACCAUCAUCAUACAAGAUUGAGCAACUUCAGAAACUGCAAGUGGCUUCUUUCCCAUUGAACCAGACUGGGCCACAGCAACAUGUGGCUGGGUACAACUAAUAUAUUAUAAACGUAAUCCAUGUAAGGUGGAAUCAGGUGUCAGACAGGGAUGUGUUAUUUCCCCAACUUUAUUUUCCAUCUUCAUCGCUAUGAUACUUCAUCUUGUUGAUGAGAAGCUUCCCACCAGAGUGGAAAUAAUCUAUCAGACAGAUGGUAAGCUAUUUAACCUCAGCAGACUGAAGGCCAAAACCAAGGUCACAACAACAUCUGUUAUAGAACUCCAAUAUGCCGAUGACAACGUAGUCUGUGCGCAUUCAGAAGAAGACCUACAAGACACUCUAAACUCCUUUGCAGAAGCAUACAAGAAGCUCAGCCUGUUAUUGAACAUCGAUAAAACCAAAGUACUGUUCCAGCAGUCACCAGCCAAUCCUUCUGCAAUGCCAGGAAUACAACUUAAUGGUGUAACAUUAGAAAAUGUUGACAAUUUCUGCUACCAUGGCAGCUACCUCUCCACAAAAGUCAACAUUGACGCUGAAACACAACAUUGCCUGAGCUCUGCAAAUGCAUUUUUCCGAAUGAAGCAGAGAGUGUUUGAGGAUUGGGACAUCUGUUGGGAUACCAAGGUGCUUGUUUAUAAAGCCACUGUUCUCCCAACCUUGUUAUAUGCCUGCGAAAUGUGGACCAUCUACAGACGUCACACUCAACUCCUGGAAUGAUUCCAUCAGCGUUGCCUCCGAAAAAUCCUGCAAAUCUCUUGGUCAGACAGGCAGACAAAUGUCAGCAUACUGGAAGAAGCAAAGACCACCAGCACUGAAGCUAUGCCCCUACAUCAUCAACUCCGCUGGACUGGCCACGUUGUCCGAAUGCCCGAUCACCGUCUCCCAAAGCAGUUACUCUACUCUGAACUCAAGAAUGGGAAACGGAAUGUCGGUGGACAGGAAAAGAGAUUUAAAGAUGGGCUUAAAGCCAACCUCAAAAACUGUGGCAUAGACACCGAGAACUGGGAAGCCCUGGCCCUUGAGUACUCUAGCUGGAGGUCAGCUGUGAUCAGUAGUGUUGUGGAAUUUGAAUAGGUACGAAUGGAGGGCGAAAGGGAGAAACGUGCCAAGAGAAAGGCGUGUCAAGCCAACCCUGACUGGGACUGCCUUAAGUCUGGAAACCGAUGUCCUCACUGUGGAAGAACGUGCGGGUCAAGAAUAGGACUCCACAGUCACCUAUGUACCCACCGCCAAGACACUACACUUAGAGGGCCAUUGUACUUGGACAACGAGGAAUUACCUUAAUCCACUUACAAGUGACUAGCAAAUGUCAGGUCUAGUGCAUAGUCACUUCAUGGGUUCAGGGCUUUCCAGUCUCUUUGCAUUGCCUCCAUGGAAUAGCAAGAGUCAUUUCAUAUUUCCAUUCAUCUCUGAUCGUUUGGCAGAGAGAUCACAGACAGAUGACAAAGGAAAUGACAGAUCUACUGAGCUCUGUGGUCUAUCUUUUCCAUAUCUCAUUAGCAACCAUACAUCUUGGAGUCUGCAACUUGGGAUGUGAAUUGCCAUGUGGCCAACAUAUCAACAGAGUGAAAGGCACAUCUUGAAAUGCAUCAGCUGGGGAAUACAUCGAAUCUUUGAAUGAUGCUUCUCGAGCUAACACAGUAUGUAACAUUUUAUUUCAAAGCAAGGAACUGCAAGGUUUUUUUAAUGUUUGAGGACAUGAGAUUAUAAAAACAGUCAUCAUCAACUGAGAAAUCCUGGAAAACUAAACCAAAAACAUACAGCACUCAUUGCAAGUUGUAAGGCCUGCCACUAUGUUGUCAACCCUGAAAUAAAACAUGCAAAAUA